UGUUGGUGCCACUCUGCUCACCUCAGAGAGAAUUAUGUAUAUACAAUACUUCCCCCACCCUCUAGCUAAAUAGUUAGUUUAGAGGAGAUAAUGUCUUUGGGUUCAAGUUGCUCUUCUGAUAGAUAUCCCUUUAGUAGGGAAAUGGUGUUCCAAGCUAUAUAUAUAUAUCCAAGAAGAUUCUCACCAUCAGUAGUCACAUAGACUACACAUAGGGAAUAGCAAAUAAACCCAUUUAUUUUAGAAAUUAUACAGAUAAGAAUCUACUAAACAAUACUCAGAAUGAAUAAGUUCUCCUAUUGGAAGUAAAAUAUCUCAGUUCAACUGAAAGAGAAUUCUAGAUAUGCUCCCAAGUCACUAGUGUGGUAAGCUGGGAAUAGGAACAUGACUGUGUCUCCUCUCCAGGUCAGCUUCUUCCCAGAGUCUUUCUCUCACUUCAGGGAUCUCUCCCCUCAAGAGAUUCUUGAACUCUUUUCUCUCAUAAGAAAGUCAGAAGACCAAAGACCUCUUUUAUCGCUCUCUCAAAAGCAUGAGAUUCUCAUAAGUGCCGCCUCAAACCACCUUGGGACAGACAAGUCAUAUGAGAGAGCAAAGAGGACUAUACUCGUUGGACAGCUGUCUCUCUCCAGACUAGAAAUGAGUUUGAUACAGAUUAAUGAUAUGCUUGUCUCCCCAUUGGAGGGGCUGUGAGCGCCUGGAGGGCAAGGACGUCCCCCCUGUCUUUUGCAUCCCCCCGGGUUUGCUCAGUGCCUGCAGGUAUACAGUAGGUACUUGAUAAAUGCUGGCUGCCCCGUUCGUCCUGAUAGUGGAUCCCAACAAUGAACGCACAAGUGCCAACUGGUGCAGUCCAGGGCCUUGGAGGCUAUAGUUGGGGCCAGUGCGUGAGUGACCACCAGCCCAGUGGGGUCACAGAGACGAAAGGGUCGGGGGCUGGAGCUGGGACGUCCUGGGAGCGCCAGCGUGGCUCUGCCCCUUGGCCAGUCUUAACGGAGUUCCCUGGAUAGACUGACCCAAUGAUCCGAUUCCAUACAAUAAUAUCACCUCACUUCAAUUAUGUUGAAAUACGAUUUUCAGAAACACGAGCUAU
rnacentral:lncRNA from 1 species